GGGGUUAGGGUUAGAGAUGGGUUUAGUGUUAGGGUUAGAGUUGGGGUUAGGGUUAGAGAUGGGGUUAGUGUUAGGGUUAGAGAUGGGGUUAGUGUUAGGGUUAGAGAUGGGGUUAGUGUUAGUGUUAGAGAUGGGGUUAGUGUUAGGGUUAGAGAUGGAGAUGGUGUUAGAGUUGGGGUUAGUGUUAGGGUUAGAGAUGGGUUAGUGUUAGGGUUAGAGAUGGGGUUAGAGUUAGGGUUAGAGAUGGGGUUAGUGUUAGUGUUAGAGAUGGGGUUAGUGUUAGGGUUAGAGAUGGGGUUAGAGUUAGGGUUAGAGAUGGGGUUAAUGUUAGGGUUAGAGAAGGGGUUAGAGAUGGUGUUAGAGUUGGGGUUGUGUUAGGGUUAGAGAUGGGGUUAGUGUUAGGGUUAGAGAUGGGGUUAGUGUUAGGGUUAGAGAUGGGGUUAGAGUUAGGGUUAGAGAUGGGGUUAGUGUUAGUGUUAGAGAUGGGGUUAGUGUUAGGGUUAGAGAUGGG
ensembl:lncRNA